rnacentral:rRNA from 1 species
UGGGGAAUAUUGCACAAUUGGCGCAAGCCUGAUGCAGCCAUGCCGCGUGUAUGAAGAAGGCCUUCGGGUUGUAAAGUACUUUCAGCGGGGAGGAAGGGAGUAAAGUUAAUACCUUUGCUCAUUUACGUUACCCGCAGAAGAAGCACCGGCUAACUCCGUGCCAGCAGCUGCGGUAAGACGGAGGGUGCAAGCGUUAAUCGGAAUUACUGGGCGUAAAGCGCACGCAGGCGGUUUGUUAAGUCAGAUGUGAAAUCCCCGGGCUCAACCUGGGAACUGCAUCUGAUACUGGCAAGCUUGAGUCUCGUAGAGGGGGGUAGAAUACCAGGUGUAGCGGUGAAAUGCGUAGAGAUCUGGAGGAAUACCGGUGGCGAAGGCGGCCCCCUGGACGAAGACUGACGCUCAGGUGCGAAAGCGUGGGGAGCAAACAGG